CAAUGCUUCGCGUCUUGUAAACAUCUACGCCCUUUCUUCGAGUCUAUCGCUCUGUUUCACAUUUCGAUUUUUGCCCUGACUAGCCAUUCCAUCUACAGCAGUCGCCCUCGCUGACUCCCUAGCCCCUAACCUCGCGCUCUACAUGCCAUACAACCCAUGACCAACCCAGCAGCACCAGUGCGUCGGGCUAUUGCCUCUGCCUACCGAACCACGAAUUUCCCAUUCAACCGCUAGUGCCUUUUGGUCAAGUCCCAUUGAAUUUCACGCCUCCAAUUGAUUAUAUUUGCAAGUUUUUUCCCCAGUUCACUAAUGUAGUGUACUAUGCAUUUGAGUCUAUCAUGUGUUUUCGCUAAAAUGCUCCUAAUGUUCCUCUUAUACACUAUUUUACAAUAGGUUUUUUGUUUCUUCCAUAGUUCAAUAGAAGAGAGAAAUGCUACGGCCUUGUCCAGUAGAGUACAUAGUUAAUAGAACGUAGCUGAACAGGUUCAUGAAUUGCUUGCACCUUCUGUUGAUACCUUUCAAUAAAAGGAUUAUACUUUAGCUUUAAAAGAUUAUUUUGUCAAGAAUUACUCUUUUUGUUUCUUUGUUUUUCAUUUUGUUAUCUUUUGUGUUGCAUCGGUUGCAAGAUCACGUUUGAACUGCACAUAUGAAUAAGUUAUUCAAUUUAGCAUCUAAAAAACGUAAUUGAUUUACUCUAGCAACACUACUGCUAGUUGUCCUUUGAUAGAUACUUUGCUAGGUAAAUAUGUCUACUCAUGUAGAUGAUUUUAUGUUUUACUGUAUAUAGCUUGUAUAUGAAGCAAAUAAGUUUUAGGGAGACUUCUUGGUUGUAUGGAGCUAAUUAUGUUGCUUUCCUAACCUUAUAGAUAUUGGAACGAUUGUGGAAGUAGUUAAUAACAUCGAUCAAUGGUGUAUGUGUUCUUUAAAUUUUAGAAAUUUGUUCUUUCAAUUAUGCACUUGAGGUUUCCUUUUGCUUUUGAGUCGUCAGACGCUUUUGACCAAAUUUCAUGACUUUAUUUUCCGACUGGGUGGCCAUUAUAAAGAGUUUUCUGGGACACCUGCUUAUUCCCCUUACACCUUUCCUGUGCUACCUGGCCCCUACUUUGUCAAUCACAGCCCAUUCUUAACGGCCACGACUUGAUGUACUAAUGAUCAACUCACUGACUUGCAGAGCUAUGGCCCUGUUAGCCUGCAUCAUAGAACCCCUAUAGGACCUGUUCGCGCCAUCAAGAACAUUUACAUAACCCCAUUUUGCUUGUGCCUUUUAGGCGAGUCGUCUUUGUCUCCCAUUUACGCCUUCUGCUUCUUCUUCUUUGCUUUCCCCUGCAAUUAUCAAGGUUUGCUUUUGUAGAGCGCUUCUAUUGAAAAUUGGAAGGUCUUAAUAUAAGCCGCAACUUGCAUCCUCUCGCAUCCGAUGCCCCGCUUUUUACUUCAAUUGUUUGAACUGUUUGAACUUCGAUAUAUACUUUACGUUGUUGGUUAAUCAACCUCUGUUGAAAUCCACCAAAUGGAACAACUUGCAUAUUUCAAAUUCUAGUUUAUUAUGCCUAUGUUUAGGGUUAAACAUGACUGUGUUUUUUUCUAGAGAGUCAAGCUGAAUUAUACUAUUAGAUAGAUUAGUAACCUAAUUUUUUCUUCUUUUAUAAUUGAAACAAGAGAUUUAAUUUUUUGUGUACAAAAAUUUGUUAACUCUAGUGCUACUUAAAUUAGAUGAAAUCUUGCAUGGGUCUUCGUUCUAACUAAGAGUUGAAAGUAAUGAAAAUCGUCCUCUGUUGUGUAUUUGAAGACAUGAUACAUCGGGAUUACUGACUCUCACCAUUUAAUUUUUUUGGUUAAAUCUCACCAUUUAAAUUUAAAAUAUAAUGAUGUUCAUUUUUUUUCUAUCUUUACAAUAGGGCUUGCAGCUGGUUGAACAUUGUUGUUUCAUUUUCUUCCUUAUUUUUAAUACUUAGCCUAACGAUUCUCAUAUACCUAAAUGUAUUGUUCCAAGUCCAGUUAAUAUAAGAGUAGAUAAAUCGAGCUGCUAUUAAUGAACCAGGUAAUGUGGCGGUUGCCAACUUAGGAAGCAAAGCAAAACUAUGCAUUUUUAUUUUAGUUACGAACAAUUUGUAUUUUAUUUUUCAAUCAAUUAGUGUGUGUUUGUUUGGAGUUAAAAUUAAGUGCUGAAAAUUAAGUAAUUAUUUUUUAAGUAAUUAAUGAAUUAAGUGCUUAAGUGAUUAAGUUGAUUUUGUUUGGCGUAAAAUGUGGAUGUAUUCUUAGUUGUUACUAUUACCAUUACAAGAUGACCCCAAAACUUUUGUUUUUCUAAACUUUAACCGAAUAUUUAUACUGUAUUAUUUUUGAUGUUUUUAGAAAUUGCAAAAUUUGAUUUUCUUUAAAGGGACAUAUCUUGAACAUAGUGGCUGCGAUCAUCCAGAAGUGGAUGAAAGUUGGUGGUGGCUCGUGAUAAUUUGCUUUCCAUCCUAGCCCUUCUGAAGUUGGUUUUGGUUCAGAAAGAAAGUUUUUAUAUUCACAAAUACAUUGACAUGGGUUAUUUACUGGAUUUAGUUUCGGAGAAUGAAUUCUUUCUCCAAGUUUGCUCAGUCAUCUAAUAAUGCUCUCUCCUUUGGUUCUGAUUCAUUUUUGGAGAAUGUAGAGAUCUUUUUCGAAGCGCUUGCGAGAAUUUGAAGAUGCAGCUUUGAUUCCUCUUUUUAUCUCUAUAAAAUUAUUUUGUUAUUUUGUGCCUGUGUGCAAGCCGAUCUGUAGUUUUAAAUGCUAAAUUGCCAUAGAUUCCCUUCUUCAUUUGCUUGAGGUUUGUUCUCUGGAGAUUUCUAAAGGAAAAGGCAUAUUCUGUUGUGAUCGACGUUUGAAUUAGUUUCAUGAAUCCAAGCAACCUCUCUCAAGUAUAUAGCCUUUCCUAUCCUUCUCUUUUCAGAUUUUUUUUUUAUAUAUAUUUCUGGCUGCUUAUGAUUCUUAAAGUUUUUAUAUGAUUUUAUCAGGAAUUCAACUCUUUGAUUAUUUGAUUAUUAUUAGCUUAUAUAAUGCAUAUGUAGGUUUUUUUGAACAAAUUUUUUUGAUAUUAUUUUAGCCUCGACUAACUCAAACAAAAUUUCCUUCUUUUCUUCUCUAUGUUGUAGUGUUGUACUAUGUUGGUACCAAACCAAAUACUCAAACAUUCACCAUCCCAAACCUCUGAGAUUCUGAUGUGUCAUUUUCAUACUAUAUGUUACUUUUCUAAUAUUAGGCCAGGAGCACUAAUAUACUUCACCAACCGAGCUAAAAAUGAACGUUCUACAUUGCCGACUUGUUCCAGCUCAUUGAGCCAGAUAAUCCUUUUGAGACAAUUAAAACUAGAAGACACAAGAUGGAAAGGCAGCGUGGACAACAAUGGUGAGUCUCCAUCAUCAUGUCUUCAACAAAGCAGAUUGACCUCAGUUCGUCACUUUUUUUAUUUUAUGUCGAAAAAAUAGCAAUAGACUAAAUAAUGUUUGAUUUUUUUUUUGUUUGGAUUGUGGAUUGAAGAUUUAGGUGUGAAACAGGUUUUAAUUUAGGGGAUUUGAAUAGUUGCUUAUUAUCUCAGGAAUGGAUCUCAUUUGGUGGAAGGUAAGCAUAUGCGAAUCCUGUUGUGGGAAGAUUAUAGUGUAUGAUGACUUUGAAGGCAUCGACAAAAUACCAAUUGUCAUUUUAAAUAUAUAGAUAUAGAUGAGGGGUAUUAAUUUCGUUAUUCCAAUUGUAGGGUACAAAUAAGAUCUAUCAGUUUCAUUUUGUGGUAAUUCAGUGAUACAACACUGGCUAGUAUAUGAAAGUUUCAUUACCAUAUCAUUGCAUGGAAAAACUGUUUAAGAUUUUACAGUCGAAUGGGCAAAUGCACAACUAUAUAAUACUGUAUCAUAGCUAACUUAUUGGUGAUAAAGACCAUAUAUAUGUCCGAUCAAUUUUGGGAACGGAUUAAUUAUAUAUCAUAUAUAACAAACAACAAUUAUAUAUAUAUGUGUGUGCACACACACCAAGUUUUCCACCUCCACAAAACUUUAUAUUGGGGAGGGGACCUGGUGGCAGUUAGCUGGAAAUUGGACCCUACCACUAAUAAUUUCGAUGCAUAAAGUUAAGAAAUUGUAGGCAGCUUUCAAUCGCAGUCCUCUCUGCUGGGUGACGUGUAUGCAUGAAACUCAUUCGACAUGCAUAAUUAAGAAGAUGCAACAAUUAUUGGAGUUUAAUAUAUUAUAUUAUUGGAUAAAUUAAUUGUCCGUUGUUUGUCGCACGGUCUAUUAUCGUUAUUUACUACUCCAUAGUCCAUAGGCUAAUUUCUGUUUCGAAGUUAUAUUUCAUACGAUGUGAUAGAUUUUGUAAAUUAUCAUAACGUAGAUUCUGAUAUAUGACGAAACUAAUCAAAUUUAAAUAAGCUAAGAAUGAAGAAUCAAUUACUUGGAGUUAGACAUUUUAAGAUGCGGAAGCAUUGCACAUGCGCUCUCGCUUGGUAUCGAAUAAUUUGUGCAAUCAGUUAUCACUUGUGCUAUUUGAUGGUCAUGUCAAUUGUUUUUCUUAGGUGCCUUUCCUUUCCACUUUCUUCCUUUUGAAUUGCUUUUCCUCGUCUGUCCGACUAAGUUAGUGCAUGGUCUUGUCAGCAGAAAGAUUUAUUUCAUAGCAUCCUAUGGUGAAGCAUUAAUAAAAUACAUUAAUAUAUACACAUGUAUACAUAUUUUAUAAGUUAUAUAUAUUUAUACUUGGCCGAAAUCCAAUAGGAGACAAAUCGGAUUUCUCUUUGAAUUUGUAAAUAGGAUAAUGUGAGCAAAACAUGCGCAGAUAUUCUAUAUAUUAUUUAAUAAUCCCAAUAAAUGAUGCACAAAGAAAAGCAGUCGGGCCUGAUAUAGACAAAACUCGAUCGUCCGCAUAAGUAUGUAUAUAUUGUCCAUUCAUCAAUUUAGCUUUUUAAUUUCCAACUUAAGUUUUUUUUUUUUCACGCACUACUUGAUAUUAGAAAAUUCAAUGAAUUCUGACUAAUUAAAAUUCAAGAGGAAUCAGUCCAUUAUUUGGGAGGUUCUCCUAAUUUUCUGAAAUACUUCUAAUUUAGUGGCCGAAUGUAUUGAUGGUAUCCAUCAAGGAAAUCAGUGGACCCUCCAUGGCCUGAAUGGGGUGUUCUCAGCCCUCCCCUGUGAUCGAGGAGUCCUUCACGAAUGCCCUGGACCGUGUUUGGUGGUCUUUUAGCUUCGACGUAGGACAGAGAUCCCCGGGUUAAGGCAAUCGUCGGUGGUUCAGUUCGGCCGCCUUCAAAAGGUCCUUUAUGUUGAUUGAGGGCGGGGAACCCCUGAUCAGAGGUCGAUCCUAUUAACGAGCUUAUCGCCCUUUUCUCAUGGAGGGACAAAGUCUUAAAUUGAGGGACUAAUUGAUUAGGAAAAAAAAAUCAAGUAUACGACUUACAUCGACAAAAGUUGCAAGGGCAUAUUGAUUUGUGACUGAUAAUGAAUGGGAACCGGAAACUAUUGCUUCCUACUUUCAAUGCAA